rnacentral:rRNA from 1 species
AGCGAACGCUGGCGGCAGGCCUAACACAUGCAAGUCGAACGAACUCUUCGGAGUUAGUGGCGGACGGGUGAGUAACACGUGGGAACGUGCCUUUAGGUUCGGAAUAACUCAGGGAAACUUGUGCUAAUACCGAAUGUGCCCUUCGGGGGAAAGAUUUAUCGCCUUUAGAGCGGCCCGCGUCUGAUUAGCUAGUUGGUGAGGUAAAGGCGCACCAAGGCGACGAUCAGUAGCUGGUCUGAGAGGAUGAUCAGCCACAUUGGGACUGAGACACGGCCCAAAAUCCUACGGGAGGGAGCAGUGGGGAAUCUUGCGCAAUGGGCGAAAGCCUGACGCAGCCAUGCCGCGUGAAUGAUGAAGGUCUUAGGAUUGUAAAAUUCUUUCAACGGGGACGAUAAUGACGGUACCCGGAGAAGAAGCCCCGGCUAACUUCGUG